rnacentral:rRNA from 1 species
AAUAUUGCACAAUGGGCGCAAGCCUGAUGCAGCCAUGCCGCGUGUAUGAAGAAGGCCUUCGGGUUGUAAAGUACUUUCAGCAGUGAGGAAGGUGGGUAUGUUAAUAGCAUAUUCAUUUGACGUUUAGCUGCAGAAGAAGCACCGGCUAACUCCGUGCCAGCAGCCGCGGUAAUACGGAGGGUGCGAGCGUUAAUCGGAAUUACUGGGCGUAAAGCGCAUGCAGGUGGUUUGUUAAGUCAGAUGUGAAAGCCCGGGGCUCAACCUCGGAAUUGCAUUUGAAACUGGCAAACUAGAGUACUGUAGAGGGGGUAGAAUUUCAGGUGUAGCGGUGAAAUGCGUAGAGAUCUGAAGGAAUACCGGUGGCGAAGGCGGCCCCCUGGACAGAUACUGACACUCAGAUGCGAAAGCGUGGGGAGCAAACAGGAUUAGAUACCCUGGUAG